GGUCUGUGCAGUUAAUUGAAACUAAUACUACGUUUACACGUGGCCGGCUAUUUUCAACAAACAUUUCAACCUCUCCGGCUUCAAAAAUAACAUUGUGCACAGCCGUCAGUUUUCAGAAAAGUGUUCAUUAA